rnacentral:rRNA from 1 species
CAGUAGCCGCGGUAAUACGUAGGUGGCAAGCGUUGUCCGGAAUUAUUGGGCGUAAAGGGCUCGCAGGCGGUUUCUUAAGUCUGAUGUGAAAGCCCCCGGCUCAACCGGGGAGGGUCAUUGGAAACUGGGAAACUUGAGUGCAGAAGAGGAGAGUGGAAUUCCACGUGUAGCGGUGUAAUGCGUAGAGAUGUGGAGGAACACCAGUGGCGAAGGCGACUCUCUGGUCUGUAACUGACGCUGAGGAGCGAAAGCGUGGGGAGCGAACAGGAUUAGAUACCCCUGUAGUCCCUGUCUCUUAUAC